rnacentral:rRNA from 1 species
CCUACGGGGGGCUGCAGUGGGGAAUAUUGGACAAUGGGGGGAACCCUGAUCCAGCCAUGCCGCGUGUGUGAAGAAGGCCCUCGGGUUGUAAAGCACUUUCAGUGAGGAAGAACGCCUGGUGGUUAAUACCCAUCAGGAAAGACAUCACUCACAGAAGAAGCACCGGCUAACUCCGUGCCAGCAGCCGCGGUAAUACGGAGGGUGCGAGCGUUAAUCGGAAUUACUGGGCGUAAAGCGCGCGUAGGUGGCUUAAUAAGCCGGUUGUGAAAGCCCCGGGCUCAACCUGGGAACGGCAUCCGGAACUGUCAAGCUAGAGUGCAGGAGAGGAAGGUAGAAUUCCCGGUGUAGCGGUGAAAUGCGUAGAGAUCGGGAGGAAUACCAGUGGCGAAGGCGGCCUUCUGGACUGACACUGACACUGAGGUGCGAAAGCGUGGGUAGCAAACAGGAUUAGAUACCCGGUAGUC